GCCCAGCCGUAAACUUUUACUUACAUUUUAAUCGCCAGGGAACUACGAGCUAAGCUUAAAACCCAAAGGACUUGACGGUACCCCAUAUCCCCCUAGAGGAGCCUGUCCUAUAAUCGAUAAUCCACGUUUAACCUCACCAUUUUUAGUUAAUCAGCCUGUAUACCUCCGUCGUCAGCUUACCACGUGAGCGCCAAUUAGUGAGCCUAAUGUUUUUCACCAACACGUCAGGUCAAGGUGCAGCAAAUGAAAUGGGAAGAGAUGGGCUACACUUUCUACUAUAGAAGAAACGAAAAACUACCUAUGAAAUCUAGUUGGAAGGCGGAUUUAGCAGUAAAAAGGGAUCAGCAUACCCAUUUUAACCCGGCACUGGGGUGUGU
rnacentral:rRNA from 1 species